rnacentral:rRNA from 1 species
AUGAUGGAAAGGGGCCUACUUCCCGUUAUUAUAUGUCGGAAUGCACCUCCUAUUUCUCAUCUCCAGUUCGCGGAUGAUUCAUUGUUAUUUUUCCAAGCAAGUGGACCUCAGGCAAAUAUUAUCAAGGAUGUUUUGAACACUUACGAGGCGGCGACGGGACAACUUAUCAAUCCGUCCAAGUGCUCCAUCCUGUUUUCUGAUAAUUGUUUGACAGCUGUGUCCCAAGAAGCGAAGAAUAUUUUGGAGAUCACACAGGAAAUAUUUGAUCCAAAGUAUCUUGGCCUACCGGUCCCCGAAGGCAGAAUGCAUAAAGGAAGAUUUCAAACUGUGCAGGCUAGAUUGAGUAAGCGAUUGGUCGACUGGAGCGAGAGGUAUAUGGCGUCCUCUAGUAAAGAAAUUCUUAUAAAAGCCAUGGCCUAG